rnacentral:rRNA from 1 species
CAACCUGCCGUCUACUCUUGGACAGCCUUCUGAAAGGAAGAUUAAUACAGGAUGGCAUCAUGAGUCCNCAUGUUCACAUGAUUAAAGGUAUUCCGGUAGACGAUGGGGAUGCGUUCCAUUAGAUAGUAGGCGGGGUAACGGCCCACCUAGUCUUCGAUGGAUAGGGGUUCUGAGAGGAAGAUCCCCCACAUUGGAACUGAGACACGGUCCAAACUCCUACGGGAGGCAGCAGUGAGGAAUAUUGGUCAAUGGGCGAGAGCCUGAACCAGCCAAGUAGCGUGAAGGAUGACUGCCCUAUGGGUUGUAAACUUCUUUUAUAAAGGAAUAAAGUCGGGUAUGGAUACCCGUUUGCAUGUACUUUAUGAAUAAGGAUCGGCUAACUCCGUGCCAGCAGCCGCGGUAAUACGGAGGAUCCGAGCGUUAUCCGGAUUUAUUGGGUUUAAAGGGAGCGUAGAUGGAUGUUUAAGUCAGUUGUGAAAGUUUGCGGCUCAACCGUAAAAUUGCAGUUGAUACUGGAUAUCUUGAGUGCAGUUGAGGCAGGCGGAAUUCGUGGUGUAGCGGUGAAAUGCUUAGAUAUCACGAAGAACUCCGAUUG